CCUACGGGUGGCAGCAGUAAGGAAUAUUGGUCAAUGGACGCAAGUCUGAACCAGCCAUGCCGCGUGGAGGAUGAAGGCCUCUGGGUUGUAAACUUCAUGGGAACCCUUACCGGUACCUGAUGAAUAAGCACCGGCUAACUCCGUGCCAGCAGCCGCGGUAAUACGGAGGGUGCAAGCGUUAUCCGGAUUCACUGGGUUUAAAGGGUGCGUAGGUGGGUCUGUAAGUCAGUGGUGAAAUCUCCAAGCUUAACUUGGAAACUGCCGUUGAUACUAUAGAUCUUGAAUCACGUGGAGGUAAGCGGAAUAUGUCAUGUAGCGGUGAAAUGCUUAGAUAUGACAUAGAACACCGAUAGCGAAGGCAGCUUACUACCGGUAUUGACACUGAGGCACGAAAGCGUGGGGAUCAAACAGGAUUAGAUACCCUUGUAGUC
rnacentral:rRNA from 1 species